AACUUUGCACAGUGGCAGUAUCGUAGCCCAAUUAUCUGAGGCACGAUUAUUGCUAAUUAAAAAGUUUUCCCAAUACCCUGCCAUGACAACUUGAAAUAUAGUUGGCAUUGGCAAUUUUUGACAGUCUCUAUGGAGA
ensembl:snRNA U4 U4 spliceosomal RNA